AGAGUUUGAUCAUGGCUCAGGACGAACGCUGGCGGCGUGCUUAACACAUGCAAGUCGAACGGAAAGGCCCUUUUCGGAGGGUGCUCGAGUGGCGAACGGGUGAGUAACACGUGGGUGAUCUGCCCUGCACUUCGGGAUAAGCUUGGGAAACUGGGUCUAAUACCGGAUAGGACCAUGGGAUGCAUGUCUUGUGGUGGAAAACGUUUUAGUGGUGUGGGAUGGGCCCGCGGCCUAUCAGCUUGUUGGUGGGGUGAUGGCCUACCAAGGCGACGACGGGUAGCCGGCCUGAGAGGGUGUCCGGCCACACUGGGACUGAGAUACGGCCCAGACUCCUACGGGAGGCAGCAGUGGGGAAUAUUGCACAAUGGGCGCAAGCCUGAUGCAGCGACGCCGCGUGGGGGAUGACGGCCUUCGGGUUGUAAACCUCUUUCACCAUCGACGAAGGCCCACCUUUUGGGUGGGUUGACGGUAGGUGGAGAAGAAGCACCGGCCAACUACGUGCCAGCAGCCGCGGUAAUACGUAGGGUGCGAGCGUUGUCCGGAAUUACUGGGCGUAAAGAGCUCGUAGGUGGUUUGUCGCGUUGUUCGUGAAAUUCCCUGGCUUAACUGGGGGCGUGCGGGCGAUACGGGCAGACUGGAGUACUGCAGGGGAGACUGGAAUUCCUGGUGUAGCGGUGGAAUGCGCAGAUAUCAGGAGGAACACCGGUGGCGAAGGCGGGUCUCUGGGCAGUAACUGACGCUGAGGAGCGAAAGCGUGGGGAGCGAACAGGAUUAGAUACCCCAGUAGUCC
rnacentral:rRNA from 1 species